rnacentral:rRNA from 1 species
AGGGUGACAGGUGGUGCAUGGUUGUCGUCAGCUCGUGUCGUGAGAUGUUGGGUUAAGUCCCGCAACGAGCGCAACCCUCGCCUCUAGUUGCCAGCAUUCGGUUGGGCACUCUAGAGGGACUGCCGGCGACAAGUCGGAGGAAGGUGGGAUGACGUCAAAUCAUCAUGCCCCUUAUGACCUGGGCUACACACGUGCUACAAUGGGCGGUACAAAGGGCUGCGAACCCGCGAGGGGGAGCGAAUCCCAAAAAGCCGCUCUCAGUUCGGAUUGCAGGCUGCAACUCGCCUGCAUGAAGCCGGAAUCGCUAGUAAUCGCGGAUCAGCAUGCCGCGGUGAAUACGUUCCCGGGCCUU